GAUGAACGCUGGCGGCGUGCCUAAUACAUGCAAGUCGAGCGAACGGACGAGAAGCUUGCUUCUCUGAUGUUAGCGGCGGACGGGUGAGUAACACGUGGAUAACCUACCUAUAAGACUGGGAUAACUUCGGGAAACCGUAGCUAAUACCGGAUAAUAUUUUGAACCGCAUGGUUCAAAAGUGAAAGACGGUCUUGCUGUCACUUAUAGAUGGAUCCGCGCUGCAUUAGCUAGUUGGUAAGGUAACGGCUUACCAAGGCAACGAUGCAUAGCCGAGCUGAGAGGGUGAUCGGCCACACUGGAACUGAGACACGGUCCAGACUCCUACGGGAGGCAGCAGUAGGGAAUCUGCCGCAAUGGGCGAAAGCCUGACGGAGCAACGCCGCGUGAGUGAUGAAGGUCUUCGGAUCGUAAAACUCUGUUAUUAGGGAAGAACAGAUGUGUAAUUAACUGUGCACAUCUUGACGGUACCUAAUCAGAAAGCCACGGCUAACUACGUG
rnacentral:rRNA from 1 species